GCUUAGCCCUAAACUCAAACGACCAUCACAACAACAUCGUUCGCCAGAGUACUACUAGCAAUAGCUUAAAACUCAAAGGACUUGGCGGUGCUUCACAUCCUUCUAGAGGAGCCUGUCCUAUAAUCGAUAAACCCCGAUAAACCUCACCAACCCUUGCUAAUCCAGCCUAUAUACCGCCAUCCUCAGCAAACCCUAAAAAGGAACUGUAGUAAGCACAAUUAUAAGACAUAAAAACGUUAGGUCAAGGUGUAGCCCAUGAGUUGGGAAGAGAUGGGCUACAUUUUCUUUCCAAAGAACACCCAUUUCAACAUACGAAAGUCCUCAUGCACAGAGGACUAAAGGUGGAUUUAGCAGUAAAUUAAGAACAGAGAGCUUAAUUGAAUCUGGCCAUGAAGCACGC
rnacentral:rRNA from 1 species